rnacentral:rRNA from 1 species
UACGUAGGUGGCAAGCGUUGUCCGGAAUCACUGGGCGUAAAGCGCGCGCAGGCGGCGAUCUACGUCUGGGGUGAAAGCCCGGAGCUCAACUCCGGGACUGCCUUGGAUACGGGAUCGCUUGAGGAUUGGAGAGGCAAGGGGAAUUCCCGGUGUAGAGGUGAAAUUCGUAGAUAUCGGGAGGAACACCAGUGGCGAAGGCGGCGAUCUGGGAAGAUACUGACGCUGAGGUGCGAAAGCGUGGGGAGCAAACAGG